rnacentral:rRNA from 1 species
UUCUCCCCGAAAGCUAUUUAGGUAGCGCCUCGUGAAUUCAUCUCCGGGGGUAGAGCACUGUUUCGGCUAGGGGGCCAUCCCGGCUUACCAACCCGAUGCAAACUGCGAAUACCGGAGAAUGUUAUCACGGGAGACACACGGCGGGUGCUAACGUCCGUCGUGAAGAGGGAAACAACCCAGACCGCCAGCUAAGGUCCCAAAGUCAUGGUUAAGUGGGAAACGAUGUGGGAAGGCCCAGACAGCCAGGAUGUUGGCUUAGAAGCAGCCAUCAUUUAAAGAAAGCGUAAUAGCUCACUGGUCGAGUCGGCCUGCGCGGAAGAUGUAACGGGGCUAAACCAUGCACCGAAGCUGCGGCAGCGACACUAUGUGUUGUUGGGUAGGGGAGCGUUCUGUAAGCCUGUGAAGGUGGCCUGUGAGGGUUGCUGGAGGUAUCAGAAGUGCGAAUGCUGACAUAAGUAACGAUAAAGCGGGUGAAAAGCCCGCUCGCCGGAAGACCAAGGGUUCCUGUCCAACGUUAAUCGGGGCAGGGUGAGUCGACCCCUAAGGC